CCUACGGGCGGCAGCAGUGAGGAAUAUUGGUCAAUGGACGAGAGUCUGAACCAGCCAAGUAGCGUGAAGGAUGACUGCCCUAUGGGUUGUAAACUUCUUUUAUAUGGGAAUAAAAUGUUCCACGUGUGGGAUUUUGUAUGUACCAUAUGAAUAAGGAUCGGCUAACUCCGUGCCAGCAGCCGCGGUAAUACGGAGGAUCCGAGCGUUAUCCGGAUUUAUUGGGUUUAAAGGGAGCGUAGGUGGAUUGUUAAGUCAGUUGUGAAAGUUUGCGGCUCAACCGUAAAAUUGCAGUUGAAACUGGCAGUCUUGAGUACAGUAGAGGUGGGCGGAAUUCGUGGUGUAGCGGUGAAAUGCUUAGAUAUCACGAAGAACUCCGAUUGCGAAGGCAGUUCACUGGACUGCAACUGACACUGAGGCUCGAAAGUGUGGGUAUCAAACAGGAGUAGAUACCCGAGUAGUC
rnacentral:rRNA from 1 species